rnacentral:rRNA from 1 species
UACGGAGGGUGCAAGCGUUAUCCGGAUUCACUGGGUUUAAAGGGUGCGUAGGAGGGUAGGUAAGUCAGUGGUGAAAUCUUCGAGCUUAACUCGGAAACUGCCGUUGAUACUAUCUAUCUUGAAUACCGUGGAGGUGAGCGGAAUAUGUCAUGUAGCGGUGAAAUGCUUAGAUAUGACAUAGAACACCAAUUGCGAAGGCAGCUCGCUACACGAAUAUUGACUCUGAGGCACGAAAGCUAGGGGAGCGAAUGGG